rnacentral:tRNA from 1 species
GGAAAGAUGGCUCAGUGGUUAGGAGCAUUGACUGUUCUUCCAGAGGUCCUGAGUUCAAUUCUCAGCAUCCA